GUCCACGCCCUAAACGAUGUAUGCUUGGUGUUGGGUCCGCAAGGACUCAGUGCCGUAGGAAAUCUGAUAAGCAUACCACCUGGGGAGUACGAUCGCAAGGUUGAAACUCAAAGGAAUUGACGGGGGCCCGCACAAGCGGUGGAUCAUGUGGUUUAAUUCGAUGCAACGCGAAGAACCUUACCCGGGCUUGAAGUGUAGGUAGUAAAGAGAUGAAAGUCGAAUGACCCGUUAAGUCGGAUGCCUACAGAGGUGCUGCAUGGCUGUCGU
rnacentral:rRNA from 1 species